rnacentral:SRP_RNA from 11 species
GCCGAGUUCAGUCGCGGGAACUUGUAACCCAAGUGGGGGCAUUAAGGUGGGCGGAUGUUGGUUCGGUUGAGCAGGUAGGGCCUGAUGGGGUUAAAUGCUGGCCUGCCCGUUCCAAGUUGGGAGAUGAGUCUCGACAUCCGGGCGAAGGCCUGGGUGGCGUGGCUCCUAGAGUUGGAGGAAACCGCGUGAGGCUGGUUUCACAGAGCAGCGUCCACCUCCCGCUCCCGUCGGUGGAAGGAUAACUGGCCGGUGCUCCACAGGUCCAACAACGCCUCCUGAGCCGCUCACAAUCUGACAUCCACCUUU